GGGCCGAUGGCUCAAUUGGUAGAGCAUCUCAUUUGCAAUGAGGGGGUUCGGGGUUCAAGUCCCCGUCGGUCCA
rfam:Parcubacteria bacterium 34_609 MPI_scaffold_21059, whole genome shotgun sequence.